AACGCACCUUGCACUCUUUGGUAUUCCGAAGAGUAUGUCUGUUUGAGUGUCAUGAAACUCUCAACCCCCUUAUUUUGUAAUGAAAUGAGCGUGGGCUUGGAUUAUGGUUGUCUGUCGGCGUAAUUGCCGGCUCAACUGAAAUACACGAGCAACCCUAUUGAAAUAGACGGUUUGACUUGGCGUAAUAAUUAUUUCGCUAAGGACGUCUUCUUCAAAUGUAAGAGGUGCUUCUAAUUCGCUAUUAAAGCAACUUAAGCUUUAGACCUCAAAUCAGUCAGGACUACCCGCUGAACUUAA
rnacentral:misc_RNA from 1 species